rnacentral:tRNA from 1 species
AUUGAGGUUUCAUAGUUUUGGCACCAUUUUGAUUGGAAAGGGUGUGGGUUCAAAUCCCACUCUCAAUA